rnacentral:misc_RNA from 1 species
CCGAGUUUACAACUCCCAAACCCCAUGUGAACCUUACCAACCUGUUGCUUCGGCGGGACUCGCCCCGGGCGCGGCCGCGAGGCCGGCCCCGGACCAAGGCGCCCGCCGGAGGACCCAAACUCUUUGUUUCUGCAAGCGGAUUCUUCUGAGUGGCUAUAAGCAACAAAUAAAUCA